CUUCUUACCUAAAACCUUUAUACCACCACUACGGCACCCCCGUCGUGCACUCCUUGCCGCCGACGUCUACCUUUUGGUGUCGUGACUUCCACACCCCAAUUUUUUUCAAAGCCUUCUCUUUUACGGAACUCGUGAGUGAUCCGUAGCAGGAUCAUACUAAUCUUUGUGUGAGGUGUUAUUUAAUCAAGCUUUCAGGAACUUGAUGUGAUGAUGUGACAUGCUUGCAUACGGGAUUAAUGGAGAGUUCACUAGUUAGGAUUUAUUUUUCUAAGUUGGUUUCAUUUGUGAGUUCUGAUUUUAGUAUUUUAAUUUCAAG